rnacentral:rRNA from 1 species
UUGAAGAGUUUGAUCAUGGCUCAGAUUGAACGCUGGCGGCAGGCCUAACACAUGCAAGUCGAGCGGCAGCACAGAGGAACUUGUUCCUUGGGUGGCGAGCGGCGGACGGGUGAGUAAUGCCUGGGAAAUUGCCCGGUAGAGGGGGAUAACCAUUGGAAACGAUGGCUAAUACCGCAUAACCUCGCAAGAGCAAAGCAGGGGACCUUCGGGCCUUGCGCUACCGGAUAUGCCCAGGUGGGAUUAGCUAGUUGGUGAGGUAAGGGCUCACCAAGGCGACGAUCCCUAGCUGGUCUGAGAGGAUGAUCAGCCACACUGGAACUGAGACACGGUCCAGACUCCUACGGGAGGCAGCAGUGGGGAAUAUUGCACAAUGGGCGCAAGCCUGAUGCAGCCAUGCCGCGUGUAUGAAGAAGGCCUUCGGGUUGUAAA